rnacentral:rRNA from 1 species
GAUGAACGCUGGCGGUAUGCUUAACACAUGCAAGUCGAGCGGUCACUUCGGUGAUAGUGGCGGACGGGUGAGUAACGCGUGAGAAUCUGUCUUCAGGUCGGGGACAACAGUUAGAAAUGACUGCUAAUACCGGAUGUGCCUUUGGGUGAAAGAUUUAUUGCCUGAAAAAGAGCUCGCGUCAGAUUAGCUAGUAGGUGGUGUAAGAGACUACCUAGGCUCCGAUCUGUAGCUGGUCUGAGAGGACGAUCAGCCACACUGGAACUGAGACACGGUCCAGACUCCUACGGGAGGCAGCAGUGGGGAAUUUUCCGCAAUGGGCGAAAGCCUGACGGAGCAAUACCGCGUGAGGGACGAAGGCUUUUGGGUCGUAAACCUCUUUUCUCAAGGAAGAUGAUGACGGUACUUGAGGAAUAAGCAUCGGCUAACUCUGUG